UUAACUUGGAUGUAAGGGAAUUGUGGUAGGGCUCUUUUCUGAAACUCUUAUAUUCUUUCAGGGGAAAGUGACAAAAAAAAGAGUGAUGGAGACGCUGAGGCUUCUCAAGGAGUAAUACCAGGAAUCAUAAGUGCUGCGGUUGUGGCGAUAGUUGGAGCAGUUUCUAGUUUCAUUGCAUACCAAAAGAAGAAACUCUGUUUCAAAUCAAGUGGCGAUCAAGAGAAUGUUAACAUGGAGAGUCAUCAAGGAGCUCAAGCAGAACCACCUGUUCAGCGCACUCUUCUGAAGGAAGAUGCAAGAUAAAGUGAAGAUCAAAAAACUGGAUAGAGAACCUUCAUAUCUUCCUGAAAAAAAAACCCAUAUUGUAAACGGCAGGAUUUGGAGUUGCAAAAUUGCAUGAAAAAAAGAUGUAGUCCUGUUGACACAUCUUUGGAAGAAAGAGACACUAUUCAAAAUACCUGAAUGUAUUUUCUUUGGUUAGCCCUGUGAAGCACAGUGUUGCCCACAGAUAUUUGGCCUUAAUGACAGCUGAAAUACUUCGUGCCUUUUUAAAAUUCUGAGCUCUGCCUUUGUGAUUGAUUAGAGUCGUGUGUCUUGGAAAUGUUGUAGAUAUCUUUUUCCUUAUUUCACCAAAAGUCCAUUAAUGUAUCAUUGCUUUGAAAUAAUGCUAGCAUCGCAGUGCCAUAUUUCUUAGCGUCAUAUACAAGCUGAAUGUACCAGUGAAGGUGGGCUCAUGACUUUGCUUGAGAAUGAAAAUCUACUAAAUACUACAUUUUGUGGGCACCUGAAUGCAAAGUAUUGUGUAGGUAGAUGGAUUGUAUGACAUAUCAUAUCAUGAUUAGUCUUUGUGUACAUAUGUGUAUAUGAGGAUGUUUUGACAAUGAUAUAUUUUCCACGCACUUGAAUGGGUCAGCUAGCAGGAAGGGAGAUGUUUGUAUUGGUCAACUCUGAGGAAGUAAUGUUUCCUUUGUUGUCUGUCUGGUACAGAUUUAUAGAAAAUCCAAAUUCCUUUCAGCUCCUACAGAUCCCUCCAUCUCUUUGUUAUUCUACUUAUCCCAUAAAACUUAAGCAGAGCUGGUCAAAACAGGAAAAUCCUGAUUUGCAAAUUGGAAUAGUAAUAUGGUUUCUCUUCUUUUGAAAAUUAUGACUGACUAGCAUUUUCAUUGCUACUCAUUGAAAUCAUGAACAGGUUAUUAAAUCAUUUUUGUAUCUGGAGGACUUGAGUCAUUGUUGGAAGACAGAGACAAUACCCCUACUUCAGUGAGAACUACAUAAUCUGGAUAAAUAAUAGGACCAUUAGCAUAGCAAUUAAAAUUAGGAUUUUAGAAACUACACUCCUUGUUGUUCAAUGAAUCCUUCUAAAUAGGAGAUUUGAAGAAUUCAAAUGAAUUAAUCAGGAACUUGGAAACAGAAAGAAAAUGCCAGAAGCUGAUUCUGCCGUUUACAGCGUUUUGAGACUUCUGUGCUUAUGAGCCCUCAAAAGCAUUCCACCCGAGCACAGCCAACUUUUUCCAUGCUGUCUGUCAGAGUAAUGGAGAUUUGUAACUGUUGUUUGUUGCAAGAAACCUAUAGGAGACUUUGAUUCAAAUGAAACAUCUGAAUAAAUAUGUGUUACUUUUUGUGCAAUUUUCCAAAAUACUGUGCCAGUAAUGCUGCAUCAAGUACUAUGUGACACUGUGAACUGCAGUACUUCAUGCAGCAAACUGGUGAACCUGUUUAUAUAAUUUUUAUCAUUUGAAGUAGAACAGAUUUCUUUCCUCCUAAAACUCUGUUGAAAUAUUAGGAGCCUAACCCAUUUCAAAGACCUUCUUGUGCAUACAUGGUAGCAAGUUCGAUACAGAACUUUACAUGAAUCUAAUGUUUUAAUUAUGGAAAUCAGUGGCAAGCUUGUUUUUUCCCUAUUUUUAUUUUUAGAUAAAUGUAAAAAAAUAUUUUAAGUGCAUCAACAAUGGAAAAUUACUAUUAUGUAGGUGAGAUUCUUAGCCUGUAAAUCUUUAAGCGAAUGAAAUCACUUUGUUUAUUUUCAAUAAACUUGUUUUAUAUGUGCAUUGCCAAGUGUUAAUCAAAGUGGAAAAUACCAGUAGCCAUUUUUGGAUUUUUUUUUAAAGCUUCCAACUAAUUAGUUUUGAAUAUUCCUUUAAUUAUGCAAUUUGUCAAAAAAUGAGGUCAUUUAAAAAGUCAGACUCAACGAUGUGACUUUUUAAUAAACAAGUCAAAGUAUUGAGUAAA